AUGUUUAUCUGGCUAAGGGAGAUACCAUGAUCACGAAGGUGGUUUUCCCAGGGCAAGGCUUACUCGUUGCACUCCGUGUGUACUGACCCCUGUGACCUCUCCAAAUGUGGGGAACUCGACUGCAUAAUUCGUGGCAGUGGGGGACUGCAUUCACACUCUCUUU